rnacentral:rRNA from 1 species
UACGUAGGGUGCAAGCGUUGCCCCGGAUUUAUUGGGCGUAAAGGGCGCGUAGGCGGUCACGCACGUCCGUUGUGAAAUCGCUCGGCUCAACUGGGCGGGGUCAGCGGAUACGGUGUGGCUGGAGCAAGCUAGGGGGCAAUGGAAUUCCCGGUGUAGUGGUGGAAUGCGUAGAUAUCGGGGAGGAACACCAGUGGCGAAGGCGGUUGCCUGGAGCUUUGCUGACGCUGAUGCGCGAAAGCGUGGGGAGCGAUCCGG